rnacentral:rRNA from 1 species
CCUACGGGUGGCAGCAGUGAGGAAUAUUGGUCAAUGGUCGGGAGACUGAACCAGCCAAGCCGCGUGCGGGAGGAAGGUACUGAGUAUUGUAAACUUCUUUUGUCAGGGAACAAAGACUGGUACGCGUCUCCGGAUGAGUGUAUCUGAAGAAAAAGCAUCGGCUAACUCCGUGCCAGCAGCCGCGGUAAUACGGAGGAUGCGAGCGUUAUCCGGAUUUAUUGGGUUUAAAGGGUGGGUAGGCGGUCUGUUAAGUCAGCGGUCAAAGCCCGGGGCUCAACCCCGGGACGGCCGUGGAAACUGGCAGUCUCGAGUUGGAGAGAGGGAUGCGGAAUGCGCGGUGUAGCGGUGAAAUGCAUAGAUAUC